GCCCCAGAGGCCUAAAACUGGAUAAGGCCCUUGGCCUCCUAAGCCAGGGAUUGAGGGUUCGAGUCCCUUCUGAGGUG
rnacentral:tRNA from 1 species